rnacentral:tRNA from 1 species
ACCCUUCUAGUACAACUAGUACAGGUGGUUUCCACCCACCCAGUCUUAGACCAUCUAAGGAAGAGUA